rnacentral:rRNA from 1 species
AUAGAGACUCAGAGCUGCAUAUCAAUAAGCGGAGGAAAAGAAACUAACAAGGAUUCCCUUAGUAACGGCGAGUGAAGCGGGAAGAGCUCAAAUUUGAAAUCUUCAAGGGUUCUACCUUUACGAAUUGUAGUUUAAUAGAAGUGUUUUCUGUUAGUAGAGUGGCUAAAAGUUCUUUGGAAUAGGACAUCAUAGAGGGAUGAGAAUCCCGUAUUUGUACAGUUACUUUCUAGCUGUGUGAUACACUUUCAACGAGUCGGAUUGUUUGGGAAUGCAGUCCAAAAUGGGUGGUAAAUUUCAUCUAAAGCUAAAUAUUGGCGAUAGACCGAUAGCGAACAAGUACCGUGAGGGAAAGAUGAAAAGAACUUUGAAAAGAGAGUUAAACAGUACGUGAAAUUGUCAAAAGGGAAGCGUUUGACACCAGUGUUGUUUUUCCGAAAAUCAAUUACGAAUGUUUUAGUUUUUGAGGAGUUAUGACUUCAUCGGCUUGCUUCUCUCUUUAUGAAACUUUCUUAAUGCACUUUUCGGUUAACAAGUCAACAUCAAUUUCUUUUGUUGUAAAAGGGUAUGAGGAAGGUGGCUUUCUUUUCGGAGAAAGUGUUUAUAGCCUUGUACCUCUGCAAUCGGAGAGAUUGAGGUCUGCAGCGUAGAUCCUUCGGGGUUAGAUACAUUUGUGCUAAGUUAUAGCUUUUCAUAGACAACUUGUUGACUAUGUUAAGUCUUGUAGCUUACUCGCUUAUGCUAUUUUACCUACGCUUAGGAUGUUGAAGAUAUGCGCGACACG